UACGAAGGGGGCUAGCGUUGCUCGGAAUCACUGGGCGUAAAGGGCGCGUAGGCGGCCAUUCAAGUCGGGGGUGAAAGCCUGUGGCUCAACCACAGAAUUGCCUUCGAUACUGUUUGGCUUGAGUUUGGUAGAGGUUGGUGGAACUGCGAGUGUAGAGGUGAAAUUCGUAGAUAUUCGCAAGAACACCGGUGGCGAAGGCGGCCAACUGGACCAUUACUGACGCUGAGGCGCGAAAGCGUGGGGAGCAAACAGG
rnacentral:rRNA from 1 species